rnacentral:lncRNA from 10 species
GGGAGCCGGGACAAGAUUCCUCUGGCUGUCCAGGCUCGUCCACCCCGGCAGCAUGUUGGUGAACUGAAGUCUGACUCAACUCUUGGCCUGGCAAGGGCCUGGCUGUCUGGCGCAGGGCAAAGGUGGUGCCCUCUGGAGAAAGGAGGAGGCCAGUGGGGAGGGAAGAGGACCAGGAGGAAAGUGGCCACAGGCUGGCUGGACACUGAGCUCAGAAGAGGGGAGAUGGUGUUACUGUUGCCAUUUUACAGCACAGGAGCCAAGGUCCUCAUGACAGGGUUGGAAAGGCCUGGGAGGGGAGCCAGGAGCCUGAGACCAGCUCAGCAGGUCCUGGCCGUGUGACCCAGAGGAAGUCACCCCAUCUCGCCUGCUAACCAGAUGACUAACAGCAGCAGCAAUCAUAUUGCCUAAUUUGCUACCUCACAGGAGUGUGGGAGAAGAUCAAACAGAGAAAUGAAUGAGAAGCAUUCUUUCCACAAAUAUUUGUUGAACACCUACUGUGCUCGAGGCUUGUGGAGGACCAAGCGGGGAACAAGCUGGCAUAAUCCUUCUCCCUAGGAAUGUACAGUCAACAGGGAAGCCAGAAAUGAAGGGAUUGCUACAAAGUGUGCAAGUGCCUCCCUCUGCUGAGGAUUGGGGCACAUGAUGGCAGAGGCAUCUCUGCAAAUCCUGACAAUCUCACAGGUCAUCCCUGCUUUGCCUCCUUUGAGUCUUCAUUUAUGAAAUGGACUGGGUUUUUGUUGUUGUUGUUGUUUUAGAUGGUGUCUCGCUCUGUUGCCCAGGCUGGAGUGCAGUGGCGUGAUCUCGGCUCACUGCAACCUCCGCCUCCCGGGUUCAAGCAAUUCUCCUGCUUCAGCCUCCCGAGUAGUUGGGAUUACAGGUGUAUGCCACCACACCUGGCUAAUUUUUGUAUUUUUAGUAGAGACGGGGUUUCACCAUGUUUGCCAGGCUGGUCUCGAACUCCUGACCUCAGGUGAUCCGCCCACCUUGGCCUCUCAAAGUGCUGGGAUUAUAAGGCGUGAGCCACUGAGCCCAGCCUGGACUGUUUUUUGUUUUUGAGACAGGGUCUCACUCUGUUGCCUGGGCUGGAGUGCAGUGCUGUGAUCAUGGCUCACGGUAGCCUCGAACUCCUGGGCUCAGGUGAUCCUCCCACCUCAGCCUCCUGAGUAGCUGGCACUACAGGAGCACACCACCACCACCAUGCCCCGCUAAUUUUUAAUUUUUUACAGACAGGGUCUCACUAUGUUGCCCAGCCUGGUCUUGAACUCCUGGGCUCAAGCAAUCCUGCCUCAGCCUCUCAAAGUGCUGGGAUUACAGGGGUGAGCCACUGCACCUGGCCUUGAAAUGGACUUUGAAGUGAGCAUCAAGAUAUACCUUCCUCACGACGCUGGUGUAAGGAUUGAGCUCAUGCAUGUGAAAGGGCUUAGCACCGAGCCAGACACCUCUAAGACAUCGCUGGAUGGCGGUGAUUGUUCAUGCGCGACCUUGCCACUGGGCACCUGGGGAUGCAGGCAUGACAUUGUCCUUCAAAGAGACAGGGAUGAGGAGCAUGUGUCUGGCACCUGGAGAUCACAUUCCCUUCCUCCCUCAGGGCCUAUAUUUGCCCACACAUACACGAUUGCGUGGGGACGUUAAAAGGUUCGAAAGCAGAUAUUCCAAACUGGUAACAGGGUGAGAAAUGAGGGUAAUUAUGAGCCCAGUCAUCUACUUUUAUGUUUUAUCUUUUAUAUAUUGUUUGAACAAUAGAUCACUUUUUGUUUUUCUUUAUUACGGUAAAAUACGCGUGACAUUAAAUGUUCCAUUUGAACCAUUUUUAAGUGUAUGGUUCGGUGGCAUUAAGUACGUUCCCAAUGUUGCAACCGCUACCACCACCUUCCCCAGUGAAACUCUGUCCCCAUUAAACACUAACUCUCCCUUUCCCCUUCCCCAGCCCCUGGCAACAUUUAUUCUACUUUCUGUCUCUACAAAUUUGACUCGUAUAAGUGCAAUCACACAGUAUUUGUCCUUUUGUGUCUGGCUUAUUUCACUUAACAUAAUAUCCUCAAGUUCACUCACAUGGGAGCAUAUAUCAG